rnacentral:rRNA from 1 species
AGAAUUCCGUGAACCAUCGAAUCUUUGAACGCAUAUUGCGCUCGACUCCUCGGAGAAGAGCAUGUCUGCCUCAGCGUCGGUUUACA